AUUGAACGCUGGCGGCAGGCCUAACACAUGCAAGUCGAGCGAGCGGCGGACGGGUGAGGAAUGUAUGGGGACUGCCCGAUCGAGGGGGAUAAAUACUGGAAACGGUAGCUAAUACCGCAUACUAUCGGAUAACCCAUAUGGGAUUAGCUAGUAGGUGAGGUAAUGGCUCACCUAUGCGACGAUCCCUAGAUGGUCUGAGAGGAUGAUCAGCCACACUGGAACUGAGACACGGCCCAGAGUCCUACGGAGGCAGAAGUGGGUAAUAUUGCACAAUGGGCGCAAGCCGGAUACACCCAUGCCUCGUGUAUGAAGAAGGCCCUAGGGUUGUAAAGUACUUUCAGUCGGGAGGCGUUACCGACAGAAGAAGCACCGGCUAACUCCGUGCCAGCAGCCGCGGUAAUUC
rnacentral:rRNA from 1 species